rnacentral:rRNA from 1 species
UACGUAGGGUGCAAGCGUUAAUCGGAAUUACUGGGCGUAAAGCGUGUGCAGGCGGGGGUACAAGUGGUGUAUGAAAUUUCCCAGCUUAACUGGGAAGGGUUAUGCCAGACUGUACUUCUGGAGUGCGAGAGAGGGGCGUGGAAUUCCGGGUGUAGUGGUGGAAUGCGUAGAGAUCCGGAGGAACACCAGCGGCGAAGGCGGCAUCCUGGACUGGUCCUGACACUCAUGAGCGAAAGCGUGGGGAGCGAGUCCGG